rnacentral:lncRNA from 1 species
GUAAUUUUUAUACGACCGCAAAAUUUGAAAAAUUUUUCGUCGUAUAUUGCUAUCACGUUGGCGUCGUCCGCGUCGUCGUCGUCGUCGUCGUCCGAAUACUUUUAGUUUUCGCACUCUAACUUUAGUAAAAGUGAAUGGAAAUCUAUGAAAUUUUAACACAAGGUUUAUGACCACAAAAGGAAGGUUGGUAUUGAUUUUGGGAGUUUUGGUCCCAACAUUUUAGGAAUAAGGGGCCAAAAAGGGCCCAAAUAAGCAUUUUCUUAGUUUUCGCACUAUAACUUUAGUUUAAGUUAAUAGAAAUCUAUGAAAUUUUGACACAAGGUUUAUGACCACAAAAGAACGGUUGGGAUUGAUUUUGGGAGUUUUGGUUUCAACAGUUUAGGAAUUAGCGGCCAAAAAAGGGCCCAAAUAAGCAUUAUUCUUGGUUUUCGCACAAUAACUUUAGUUUAAGUAAAUAGAAAUCAAUGAAAUUUAAACACAAUGUUAAUGACUACGAAAGGAAGGUUGGUAUUGAUUUUGGGAGUUUAGGUCCCAAUAGUUUAGGAAUUAGGGGCCAAAAAGGGACCCAAAUAAGCAUUUUUCUUGGUUUUCGCACCAUAACGUUAGUAUAAGUAA